GCGGCCGUGGCGAAACGGCAGACGCGCUAGCUUCAGGUGCUAGUAGGGGCAACUCUAUGGUGGUUCAAAUCCACUCGGCCGCACCA
rnacentral:tRNA from 1 species